CCUGUAACCACUGGGGCCGCAAUAUCGGACUGAUUUAGCCCCUGGUGAUGCUCUGGUUGCCCCUGGUGAUGCUGUAGUUGCCCCUGGUGAUGCUGUAGUUGCCCCUGGUGAUGCUCUGGUUGCCCCUGGUGAUGCUGUGGUUGCCCCUGGUGAUGCUGUGGUUGCCCCUGGUGAUGUUCUGGUUGCCCCUGGUGAUGCUCUGGUUGCCCCUGGUGAUGCUGUGGUUGUCCCUGGUGUUGCUCUGGUUGCCCCUGGUGAUGUUCUGGUUGCCCCUGGUGAUGCUGUGGUUGCCCCUGGUGAUGCUGUAGUUGCCCCUGGUGAUGUUCUGGUUGACCCUGGUGAUGCUCUGGUUGCCCCUGGUGAUGCUGUGGUUGCCCCUGGUGAUGUUCUGGUUGCCCCUGGUGAUGCUCUGGUUGCCCCUGGUGAUGCUGUGGUUGCCCCUGGUGAUGCUCUGGUUGCCCCUGGUGAUGCUGUAGUUGCCCCUGGUGAUGCUGUGGUUGCCCCUGGUGAUGCUGUGGUUGCCCCUGGUGAUGCUCUGGUUGCCCCUGGUGAUGCUGUGGUUGCCCCUGGUGAUGUUCUGGUUGCCCCUGGUGAUGCUCUAGUUGCC